AAUCCAUCUACUGGCUAAAAUAAACAAUAUCGCUCUUUAUGCAGAUCAAGUUUAGAAUACAUAUAAUUUGAAAGAAAUAUUGUUAAAGACAGAGUUUUCCAGUCAACAGGAGCAACUGCUGAUACUGUGCUGGUUCAUGAGCACCUUCAGAGCCACAGAGGUGUACAUAUGAGAAGCAGUAACAUGGAUCCUCUGCAGUCCUGGGAAAUGGAAUUUCAUUAUGUGAGAAUCUACUUCAUCCAUGCCAUCUGAGAGGAAAGAUGGAGCAGGAUAAGUAAUUUUUGUUUUCACUUCUCUUAAGUCCUCCCAAAUUCCAAAUCAGAGACUGCACUUCUCUGAAAUGUUCUUAGAAAAUGCCCCUCAAGUCAUCAAAUAAUGAUUUUUCUUUUUUCCUACUCUUACCCCCCACACCUCCCCAGCCCAUUCUAAGUGGGUUGAGGCAGGAGGGUGGGGCUUCCUGUCACCAAGUGUGGGCUCAAGGAGGGUUUGUUGGGGAAAACGAUUGGCUGCAGAAUCAGGAACGUCUCCAGAACAAGUCAUGACACUCACUGCCCAGGGUUUAUUUAGCUAAGUAAUACCUUAUGGUGAAAAUGUCCCAGCAAGAAGUGGAAGCAUCAUGAAGCGGCUAGCAGGCACUGUGCUGGGGCUUCUGUUGGCCCAGGUUUGCUGUGUGAAAGGAGUGGAUGUGAAGCAGAGUCCCCCAGCCCUAAGUCUCCAGGAGGGGGCCAGCUCCACGCUCUGGUGCAAUUUUUCCACCACUGUGAACAACGUGCAGUGGUAUCGUCAGUACCGAAAUGGCAGCCUGGUCCACUUGUUUUUCAUUUCUUCAGGGACCAAGCAGAAUGGAAGAUUAAAUGCCACGACAGUCACUACAGAACGCCGCAGCUCAUUGCACAUUUCCUCUGCCCAGAUCACAGACUCAGCCACGUACCUCUGUGCUGGGGAGCACAGCGCUCCCCAGGCACCUGCAGCCUGUACAGAAACCCUCCGCGGGGCUCAGCCCCUCCUCCAGCCAAAGUCACACCCCGGGGCCACCACAGGGCAUUCACAUUUCUCAUUAUUCCUCACCUACACUGGUACCCUUUUAACUACAAGCACUUUUUGGCCCUACAGAUUUGGGACUUUGGUCUUUUACUUCCUUCCCAAUCUGUAUCUCCUUCUGCUCUAGAAACUUCUUACUUGAAUCUGGUAAAAAUACAGAAGUAAAGUGAAUAUUUAACCACGGUGUACAGAACUACAACAUCAUAAAAUGUAGGAAAAGAAAGAGAAAGAAAAAUCACUCUAAGAAAGAUGUUAUCCAGCUUAGUUGAGUGUCUCAAGAAUGUUCAGGGCUGCCUCACCAUGCUGUGUCCCAAAAGGCAAUUGCAAAUCCUCCCAUCCCAUCCUGCUAGUGCUGCAAAGCAAACAAAAAAUAUAGGCUCAAUGUUUGUAUAUGAACCUGGUCAUUUAAAACAAAUUCUUUCUCUUACUGUUCUGGAUGCAGGAAAUCUGACACCAGUUUCACUGGCUCCAGGCAAGGUCUUGGCAGGCCUGAUUCCUUCCAGAGGCCCUAAGGGAGAAUCCAUUUCCUGGCCUUUUCUAGCUUCUGGAGGCCACCUGGAUUCCUUGGCUGCUGACCCCUUCUUGAAUCACUCUUCCUUCCACCACAGCUCCUUCCUCUUCUGGAAUCAAAUAUCCUUCUGCUCUGUCUCAGAAGAUGUAAAAUAAAUGAAUAAAUAAGCAGAAACCUCUGUUAAAAAGAGGAGACAAGGGGGAGUCUCACACCCUGUGAAGAUAGCAGAGCUCAGAGGGAAGAUGAAAGACUCCCCUUCUUUCCUGGCAAAGACUCAGCCAUGGACUCAGCCCUUGGACUCUGCUUACUCCAGCCCUCCCAGCCUCCUUUUCCUCUCUAUUCAAGCAUUUUCCUUCCCUUGCCAUGUGGGGACUUGCAAGUCACUAGUCAUGGUUGCAGACCCCAAAUUGCAGUCCUUUGCUGAUCCCAAACACAUGCAUCUUUCCUAGAGAAAUAUCUAACUGUCUUUUUGUCCCAGGUCAGUGAAGGACACUUGUGAUUAAAGUUAAGGCCUACCCAGAGAAUACAGCCUAAUUCAUAUCGAUACCCUUCAAAUUAUCACAUAACUACAAUCCCUUUUGCCACACAAAGUCACAUUUUAACUUUAUCUAAUUAAAACCUUUAAAAUUAAAGGAGUUCCCAUUG